AGAAGAGUGAAAACGAGAGCGGAAACAUCAUGCCAACCUAGGAAGAAGACCAGCAGUGAAAUCCAAAGUUGUGAAAAAGGACUGAUGAUGUUAUUGAAGUGUUUAGGUCGAUAUGUAUUAAGAUAUGGUAUGGGUGGACUAUAUUGACCGACAGUGGUUUCGCCAUCGAGUAGUCAGGGUCCAGGACUGGUCAGUGUUUUGGCGGACAGUGCGCACCAACAACGACGUUGAAGGCUAGCACACCCGACUGAACACAUUGGCCAGGCACAGGGGGGUGUCCCAUUCUACAAAUUAGUGCUACAAAUGCGACAGGAAGCAGAAGUGGUUGAUGUUGCUUUGCGAUCUGCGGACUUGGAGAGGGAGACUAACCGGCUAUACACUGCCCUUGAGAAGAGGAUCCAGAAAGCCUGGGAUGAGUACAUAGAAGGAGCUUGGACCACCAGUCACUUUUUGCAAGCGAUAUCAUCGUGUUACAGCUCGUCCGUCAACACCGAGUGAUCGAACUCUUCUAAUAAGAUGUGAAGACUAUGUGAUGACUGACUAACACUCGAAAUGUGUUUAACAGUGACUAACAGUAUUUAAUUAUGUGUGUCAUGUAGUGAUUAUAA